AUUGAACGCUGGCGGCAUGCUUUACACAUGCAAGUCGAACGGUAACAGGCCUUCGGGUGCUGACGAGUGGCGGACGGGUGCGUAAUGCAUCGGAACGUACCCAGAGGUGGGGGAUAACGCAGCGAAAGCUGUGCUAAUACCGCAUGUGAUCUGAGGAUGAAAGCGGGGGACCGAGCAGCAAUGUUUGGCCUCGCGCCUUUGGAGCGGCCGAUGUCGGAUUAGCUAGUUGGUGGGGUAAAGGCCUACCAAGGCGACGAUCCGUAGCUGGUCUGAGAGGACGACCAGCCACACUGGGACUGAGACACGGCCCAGACUCCUAAGGGAGGCAGCAGUGGGGAAUCUUGGACAAUGGGCGCAAGCCUGAUCCAGCAAUGCCGCGUGAGGGAAGAAGGCCUUCGGGUUGUAAACCGCUUUUGGCAGGAACGAAACGGUGUCCGCUAAUACCGGGCGCUAAUGACGGUACCUGCAGAAUAAGCACCGGCUAACUACGUG
rnacentral:rRNA from 1 species